CCUACGGAGGCUGCAGUGGGGGAUAUUGCACAAUGGGGGAAACCCUGAUGCAGCGACGCCGCGUGAGUGAAGAAGUAUUUCGGUAUGUAAAGCCCUAUCAGCAGGGGAGAAAAUGACAGUACCUGACCAAGAAGCCCCGGCGAACUACGAGCCAGCAGCCGCGGUAAUACGUAGGGGGAAAGCGUUAUCCGGAUUUACUGGGUGUAAAGGGAGCGUAGACGGUUGUGUAAGUCUGGAGUGAAAGCCCGGGGCCCAACCCCUGGACUGCUUUGGAAACUGUGUAACUGGAGUGCAGGAGGGGCAGGCGGAAUUCCUGGUGUAGCGGUGGAAUGCGUAGAUAUCAGGAAGAACACCGGCGGCGAAGGCAGCCUGCUGGACUGAAACUGACGUUGAGGCUCGAAAGCGUGGGGAGCAAACAGGAUUAGAUACCCCUGUAGUC
rnacentral:rRNA from 1 species